UACGUAGGGUGCGAGCGUUGUCCGGAAUUAUUGGGCGUAAAGAGCUUGUAGGCGGUUUGUCGCGUCUGCCGUGAAAAUCCGAGGCUCAACCUCGGACUUGCGGUGGGUACGGGCAGACUAGAGUGUGGUAGAGGAGACUGGAAUUCCUGGUGUAGCGGUGAAAUGCGCAGAUAUCAGGAGGAACACCGAUGGCGAAGGCAGGUCUCUGGGCCACUACUGACGCUGAGAAGCGAAAGCAUGGGGAGCGAACAGG
rnacentral:rRNA from 1 species